GAUGAACGCUGGCGGCGUGCUUAACACAUGCAAGUCGAACGGAAAGGCUCCUGCUUUCAGGGGUACUCGAGUGGCGAACGGGUGAGUAACACGUGGGUGAUCUGCCCUGCACUUCGGGAUAAGCCUGGGAAACUGGGUCUAAUACCGGAUAGGACGAUGGUUUCGAUGCCAUUGUGGAAAGUUUUUUCGGUUUGGGAUGAGCUCUCGGCGUAUCAGCUCGUUGGUGGGGUAAUGGCCUACGAAGGCGUCGACGGGUAGCCGGCCUGAGAGGGUGUACGGCGACAUUGGGACUGAGAUACGGCGCAGACGCGUACGGGAGGCAGAAGUGGGGAGUAUUGCAGAAUGGGCGCGAGUCUGAUGCGGCGACGCCGGGUGGGGGAUGACGGCCUUCGGGUUGUAAACAACUUUCGCUAGGGACGAGGCGGAAGUGACGGUACCUGGAGAAGAAGCACCGGCUAACUACGUG
rnacentral:rRNA from 1 species